CAAGUCGAGCGGAAACGAGUUAUCUGAACCUUCGGGGRACGAUAACGGCGUCGAGCGGCGGACGGGUGAGUAAUGCCUAGGAAAUUGCCCUGAUGUGGGGGAUAACCAUUGGAAACGAUGGCUAAUACCGCAUGAUGCCUACGGGCCAAAGAGGGGGACCUUCGGGCCUCUCGCGUCAGGAUAUGCCUAGGUGGGAUUAGCUAGUUGGUGAGGUAAGGGCUCACCAAGGCGACGAUCCCUAGCUGGUCUGAGAGGAUGAUCAGCCACACUGGAACUGAGACACGGUCCAGACUCCUACGGGAGGCAGCAGUGGGGAAUAUUGCACAAUGGGCGCAAGCCUGAUGCAGCCAUGCCGCGUGUGUGAAGAAGGCCUUCGGGUUGUAAAGCACUUUCAGUCGUGAGGAAGGURGUGUAGUUAAUAGCUGCAUUAUUUGACGUUAGCGACAGAAGAAGCACCGGCUAACUCCGUGCCAGCAGCCGCGGUAAUACGGAGGGUGCGAGCGUUAAUCGGAAUUACUGGGCGUAAAGCGCAUGCAGGUGGUUUGUUAAGUCAGAUGUGAAAGCCCGGGGCUCAACCUCGGAAUAGCAUUUGAAACUGGCAGACUAGAGUACUGUAGAGGGGGGUAGAAUUUCAGGUGUAGCGGUGAAAUGCGUAGAGAU
rnacentral:rRNA from 1 species